rnacentral:lncRNA from 1 species
CAUCGUCUUCUCCGACGCCCCCCCCCCGGCCCCCGGCACCCCUGGGCCCCCCCUGCCCGCCCCCGCCGACGUCUUCUGGGCCAGCCUGGUGCAGGCCCAGCUCUGCGUCUGGGACCUGCAGGGGGCCAUCGAUGGGGACACCGGUGGCACCCACGGUGGUGGCACCCAUGGUGGUGGCACCCAUGGUGGUGGUGGCACCGGUGGUGGUGGUGGUGGCACCCACGGGUCCGACCCCGGCCACCAGGGGGGCUCUCAGCAGCGCGCCCCCACCCAUGGGACCUCCUCCUCUGAGCCCGUCCCCGCAUAUGGGGGCGCCCCGGGGGGCCGCGUGGGCACCCAUGGGUGCUCCGAGCCCCCGAGCACCCUGAUGGAGCAGCCAAGCUGGGAGAGCUUCGCACCCAUGGGUGUGGGUGGGGGCACCUCACACGAGCAUGUGGGCACCCGUGGGACCACCACGGCCACCCACGGGACCACCUCCUCUGAGUCCAUCUUCACCUAUGGGAGCACUUCUCAGGAGCACGUGGCCACCCAUGGGACCACCUUGGCCACCUAUGGGACCACCUUGACCACCCACGGGACCACCUUGGCCACCUAUGGGACCGCCUCCUCCGAAUCCAUCUUCACCUAUGGGAGCACUUCUCAGGAGCACCUGGCCACCCAUGGGACCACCACCCCCGAGCCCACCCCCACGUCCAGGAGCACCCCCCACGAGCCCACCCACGGGACCGUCUCGCCCCACUCCGUGCCCAUGGGUGGGGGCAUCUCCUGUGAGCACCCACCGCCCGCUGGGACCGCGUCCCCCAUGGGUGGCUGCUUCUCCUACAAGGACGUGGCGCUGGGUGCAGGAUUCUGGCAGGAGCCCCGUGGGUGCGGGGCCGUGGGCAGGAGCAUCUUGCACGAGCACGUGCCCACCUUCGGGACCACCGCGCCCAAAUCCGUGCCCACCCACGGGACCACAUCCUGGGCGCGUGUCCCAGCAGAUGGAAGCGCCUGGGCAGAGCCCGCGCCCCCGGACGGGACCACGUGGAGCAAGGGCUCGCCCGUGGGGGACCCCAACGCGUGGGAGCAUGGCCCAGGUGGGGACACCUCGACCAUGGCGUGGGAGCCUCCUCCAGCGGGUGGCACCGCGGGGACCAAGGCUGUGCCCAAGGACGACGCCAGCUCAUGGGGACACAUCCCAACAGAUGGCACCACCUUGACCAAGUCCAUGCCCAUGGAUGGGAGCAUCUCAACCAAAUC